UACGUAGGGGCAAGCGUUAUCCGGAAUUAUUGGGCGUAAAGAGCGCGCAGGUGGUUGAUUAAGUCUGAUGUGAAAGCCCACGGCUUAACCGUGGAGGGUCAUUGGAAACUGGUCGACUUGAGUGCAGAAGAGGGAAGUGGAAUUCCAUGUGUAGCGGUGAAAUGCGUAGAGAUAUGGAGGAACACCAGUGGCGAAGGCGGCUUCCUGGUCUGUAACUGACACUGAGGCGCGAAAGCGUGGGGAGCAAACAGGAUUAGAUACCCGGGUA
rnacentral:rRNA from 1 species